AUUGAACGCUGGCGGCAGGCCUAGCACAUGCAAGUCGAGCGGAUGAGUGGAGCUUGCUCCAUGAUUCAGCGGCGGACGGGUGAGUAAUGCCUAGGAAUCUGCCUGGUAGUGGGGGACAACGUUUCGAAAGGAACGCUAAUACCGCAUACGUCCUACGGGAGAAAGCAGGGGACCUUCGGGCCUUGCGCUAUCAGAUGAGCCUAGGUCGGAUUAGCUAGUUGGUGGGGUAAAGGCCUACCAAGGCGACGAUCCGUAACUGGUCUGAGAGGAUGAUCAGUCACACUGGAACUGAGACACGGUCCAGACUCCUACGGGAGGCAGCAGUGGGGAAUAUUGGACAAUGGGCGAAAGCCUGAUCCAGCCAUGCCGCGUGUGUGAAGAAGGUCUUCGGAUUGUAAAGCACUUUAAGUUGGGAGGAAGGGCAGUAAGUUAAUACCUUGCUGUUUUGACGUUACCAACAGAAUAAGCACCGGCUAACUUCGUGCCAGCCGCCGCAGUAAAAC
rnacentral:rRNA from 1 species